GCCUGUAUGACUGACGAUUACGUUUGUAUUGAUGACCGCUGAACUAUAUUGUGGAUCGGCACUGUAACCAGAGAAUUGAAAACUAUCAGGUCGCCAGACACGAUUAUAAGGAAUACGGAUUACUCGAAUUCCAGCAAAUUCCGAGACAUUCCAUUUCAAAUGAUGGUCAGUCCAAUUCUGCGUAACCCAACAAUUGGUCCAAUUCGCAGCGCAAUGUUUGACCUCCCUGACGUACAUAAAUACAUUCGACGUAUCUAUAUUCGAUGUUCUAUCGUAACAUAAACAUUCGUGUCAUUCGCGUGACAACACUUGAGUGAGAAGGUAAUGAUAUAAGUCUUAUCAUCCUUUAAGAAAUGCGAUUAUUUCGUACGGUUAUUAUCAUUUGCAAUUAAUGACUUGUCGAGCAAGUCAGUGGAUGCCAGUGUUAUGCUAGUGGGAUCGAAAUAGUAACAGAUUUUAAUAACAAUAGACCACGUGCGAAGAUCCCUAACCUGCUAAGAUGCAUUAUUAAAAAUUAUCUGCAAAAUCAAGAAAGUAUCGUGAUUAAACAAUAAUUGAAUAAAACAUCGGAUCAGCUGUUGACAUCGUCACUCAACAUAGUACUAUAAGAAAAAAUCUAACAAAAUAUCUAACAGGGAAGAAAAAAAUGGACAAUAAUUAAGAAGGACUAAUAACAGACGUGAAUCGCAUUAUUCCUUAUGAGGCCUACCCUAAUAAAGUUUGUUUUUUCAUUAUUUUCGCUCGGAUUAAUUUAAAGCUGCUCAGGAUUCGUAUCAAUAAUUAUCAGGACAGAGGCAAUCAUGGAAAAAAUAAAUUAUUUUUGUAUGUGCAAGAGACCCAGCCUAAUAUUUGUGGGAGACUCCCAAUUACUUCCAAAUAUCAAUAACAACAAACAAACUUUUUCUACAUCGCAAACACGUAUUAAACGGCCUAUGAAUGCAUUUAUAAUGUGGUCCAGCGAACAACGCAAAAAGAUCGCUAAAGAAAAUUCAAAAAUGCACAAUUCUAAUAUCUCCAAGCAACUGGGCGAAGAAUGGAAAAAUCUCCCACAUAAAGCAAAAAUUUAUCGACAAGUCAAAUCAGCUGCGUGAAGAACACAAAAAGCAAUAUCCCAAUUAUAAAUAUUGUUUCCGAAAGAAAAUCAAAUCAAAAAACGCAUUUGGAUCCAUUAAUCCGCUGUUAGUGCCUGCUAAUAACUAUAUCAAUGGCCAUCUUAACAGGCCAUUACAGAUUGCUGGCUACUUGAACGGUAUUCCCUUCAGGAGUGGCUACGUUUGUUCCAGCUGAUUUAUUACACGAUUGCUGUAUGUGUCCCGUCUUUUUCCUUGAUUUUAUAAAAAUUUAUUUAUAUAUGUAUAUAUUUACGAAAGUAAGAAAAUACGAAACGAUUAAGGAAUUAUUAUUGAGAUAAACGUAAACAUAUUAUUUUAAAUUACAAGGUUCGGUUCAAAGGGGCUCGGAGUAAUUCUUGAGCAUAGGAAGGGCAGUACUCUUCUUGGCUUUUUCUUGCCACCUUUCUUUUAAAUUCCAUAUAAUUUUCCCUCAACUCUUUGGCGGUAUCCACAUUCCAGCUGUACGAUGCCAGUAUUUUCUCCAAUGACUUCAUAUUAUUCAAGUAUU
rnacentral:lncRNA from 1 species